UACGAAGGGGGCUAGCGUUGUUCGGAUUUACUGGGCGUAAAGCGCGUGUAGGCGGACUUGUAAGUUGGGGGUGAAAUCCCGAGGCUCAACCUCGGAACUGCCUCCAAAACUACAAAUCUGGACCUAAGUAGAGGCAAGUGGAAUUGCGAGUGUAGAGGUGAAAUUCGUAGAUAUUCGCAGGAACACCAGUGGCGAAGGCGACUUGCUGGACUUAUGGUGACGCUGAGACGCGAAAGCGUGGGGAGCAAACAGG
rnacentral:rRNA from 1 species